GGAAGUUUUCAGACAUCUCACCCAGGAGGUUUACAGUCCAGUCACAAAACGUGGUUUAUUUAGAGACUCUACGUGGUAAAUCCACAAUGAUCCAUGAUAGCAGCUU